rnacentral:rRNA from 1 species
CAGUCGCCGCGGUAAGACAGAGGAUGCAAGCGUUAUCCGGAAUGAUUGGGCGUAAAGCGUCUGUAGGUGGCUUUUCAAGUCCGCCGUCAAAUCCCAGGGCUCAACCCUGGACAGGUGGUGGAAACUACCAAGCUGGAGUACGGUAGGGGCAGAGGGAAUUUCUUGUGGAGUGGUGAAAUGCAUUGAGAUCGAAAAGAACACCAACGGCAAAAGCACUCUGCUAGGCUGACACUGACACUGAGAGACGAAAGCUAGGGGAGAAAAUGGGAUUAGAUACCCCCGUAGUCCCUGUCUCUUAUAC